GCCCUCGUGGUGAAAUGGAUAUCAUUUUUGCCUUCGAAGCAAACGUUCCAGGUUCGAAUCCUGGCGGGGGCG
rnacentral:tRNA from 1 species